rnacentral:rRNA from 1 species
UACGGAGGAUGCAAGCGUUAUCCGGAAUGAUUGGGCGUAAAGCGUCCGCAGGUGGCUGUGUAAGUCUGCUGUUAAAGAGUGAGGCUCAACCUCAUAAGAGCAGUGGAAACUACAUAGCUAGAGUGCGUUCGGGGCAGAGGGAAUUCCUGGUGUAGCGGUGAAAUGCGUAGAUAUCAGGAAGAACACCGGUGGCGAAAGCGCUCUGCUAGGCCGCAACUGACACUGAGGGACGAAAGCUAGGGGAGCGAAUGGG